AAAUUUAUAUUAUUAUUGAUAAGGUGGGAAAUAUAUUGAUGAGAGGAAAAAGUUUUUAAUAUUUUAGUAUGUUUAAGAAUUAAUAAAAAUUAAUAAUAGUUUAUUAGUACUUGGAAGGAAAUAUAAGUAUAAAUGUGUUAAAGAAGAUUUAAGAAUUGUAUCUUGUGUAUCAGAAUUUAUUAAAUGAAAAGUUGAUAAUAAAUUGUUCUCGAAUUUUUGGGGAUUUAUUAAUUUAUUUUAGUUAAUGUAGUAUUUUUAUUAAUAAUAAAUUAAUGGUAAUGAAAUGUUUAUCGUUCAAAAUGAUAUCUAGUUCUUUAAGAAAUAAAUUUAAUUUAGUUUUAUGAUUUUUUUUAAUAUUAUUAGGGUUAUAAAUUGAGGAUUUUAGGGAUAAGCUUAAAAUUUAUUAUUAAAUUGAUAAUUUGGUAUUUGAAUAAAUAUAAUUUAUGGUGUUAAAUUUUUGUAUUGUUUAAUAACUGAUUUUUAAGAAAAAGAUUUAUUUGAAAUUAAUUUAAUGAUUAAAGUAAUUAAUUUAAUAAGAAAAUUGAUGAAAUCAUGAUAAAAUUAGUAAAGGUUAGAUUUAAAUUAUAUUGGAAUUGAUAAUUUAUAAUAAGGAAUUAGGCAAAAUAUGUAAUUUCCGCCUGUUUAACAAAAACAUGUCUUUAUGAAUGAAUAUAAGGUUGAAUCUGCCCAAUGAAUGAUAUUUUAAAUGGCUGCGGUAUAUUGACUGUACGAAGGUAGCAUAAUCAUUAGCUUUUUAAUUGGAAGCUGGAAUGAAUGAUUUGACGAGAAAUACUCUGUCUAUUUAUGAUAAAUUGAAUUUUAUUUUUUAGUUAAAAAGCUGAAAUGUUGAUAAGGGACGAGAAGACCCUAUAGAAUUUAUAUGAUUUAUGAAUGAAAGAGUUUGGUUUAAUGAAUUUAAAUUUAUUUAUGGAUUAUAUUUUGUUGGGGUGAUAAGAAAACAAUAAAAGCUUUUGUUUUAUUUCUGACUAAGAUAAAAGAAAUAAUAUUUAUGAUCUUGUAAUAUGGAUUGAAAGAAAUAAUUACCUUAGGGAUAACAGCGUAAUUUUAUUUGAGAGUUCAUAUCGAUAAUAAAGAUUGCGACCUCGAUGUUGGAUUAAGAUUAUUAUUAGGUGCAGUAGUUUAAUAAAUAGGUCUGUUCGACCUUUAAAUUCUUACAUGAUCUGAGUUCAGACCGGCGAGAGCCAGGUCGGUUUCUAUCUUUAAAUUAAAAUCAUAAUUUAGUACGAAAGGACCAUUUAUGAAAUAUAUUAUUUUUGGAAAGAAUUUAAUUAAUU
rnacentral:rRNA from 1 species